rnacentral:rRNA from 1 species
UACGUAGGGGGCUAGCGUUGUCCGGAAUCAUUGGGCGUAAAGCGCGUGUAGGCGGCCCGAUAAGUCCGCUGUGAAAGUCCAGGGCUCAACCCUGGGAUGCCGGUGGAUACUGUCGGGCUCGAGUCCGGAAGAGGUGAGUGGAAUUCCCAGUGUAGAGGUGAAAUUCGUAGAUAUUGGGAAGAACACCGGUGGCGAAGGCGGCUCACUGGCUCAUUUCUGACGCUCAGGCGCGACAGCGUGGGGAGCAAACAGG